AGUGAACGCUGGCGGUAGGCCUAACACAUGCAAGUCGAACGGCAGCACAGUAAGAGCUUGCUCUUACGGGUGGCGAGUGGCGGACGGGUGAGGUAUACAUCGGACUCUACUUUUUCGUGGGGGAUAACGUAGGGAAACUUACGCUAAUACCGCAUACGACCUACGGUUGAAAGCAGGGGAUCUUCGGACCUUGCGCGAUUGAAUGCGCCGAUGUCGGAUUAGCUAGUUGGCGGGGUAAAGGCCCACCAAGGCGACGAUCCGUAGCUGGUCUGAGAGGAUGAUCAGCCACACUGGAACUGAGACACGGUCCAGACUCCUACGGGAGGCAGCAGUGGGGAAUAUUGGACAAUGGGCGCAAGCCUGAUACAGCCAGACCGCGUGGGUGAAGAAGGCCUUCGGGUUGUAAAGCCCUUUUGUUGGGAAAGAAAAGCAGCAGGUUAAGACCCAGCUGUUCUGACGGUACCCAAAGAAUAAGCACCGGCUAACUUCGUG
rnacentral:rRNA from 1 species